GCGCGCCGGGCGGGGGGCGGGCGUCCGGGCUGGCCUGCGGUGUUCUCCCGCCCCCGCCCCGGGCUGGCGCGCCCCGACGCAUCUCCUAGGGGCACCGGGGCUCUCCGCCGAGCUCCGGGCAGGUCCUGAGUUCCCUCGCGCAUGCAUGCAGCCAUUCGUUCCACAGCCAUGACUGGGCACCUACUGUGUGCCAGGCCCUCAGUGAUUUCAUGCCUAGGGAAGGCAAGAAGUCGGCGCCCAAAGAAACUUUGAAAUGAGGAGUCUUGCACGACGGGUGCGCGGUUGAGCUGAGGUCCCGCUGACUUCCAGUCCAGUGCUCGUCCCUUGGCACUAGUAAGCUUCCCUGGUUAAACCUCCCCAAGGCUCGUGGGACCCCUACCUGAUCUGUGCUCCUGCUUCCCACCUCCGUCUCAUCUCACACCUGCCUUCCUGCGGAUCCUAGAGCGCCUUUCUGUCCAUCAAACACUCGAACUUCACUAACCUCAGGACAUUGGCGCCCGCCUUUCCCUCUGUGGGACGUUCUUGCCCAGCUUUUCACGUGGCCGGCGCCUUCUCAUUGUACAUAGGUCCCCUCCUCAGAGAGGCCUUUCCUGACCACCUUCCUCGAUUAGCCCUCUGCUCCUGACCACUCCGUGUACUCUGUUUUCUUCAUAGCAUUUAACAGUGAUUUAUCCAUUUUCAGCAAAUAUUUAUUGAGCACCUAUUCUGGUUUUUCUCGCGUGGGGAACAAAUAGACAAAAAUUCUGUCCCCCAGUGGAGUUUGGGGAAAGAGGGACAGGUAACAGAUAAACAGCAAAUUAGCAAACUAUGCAUUAUAUUAGAAAGUGAUAAGUUCUAAGAGGAAAAAGAGCAGGGUCAGGAGAUUUGGGGCUGGAGGUAAGCAGUGAAUUUUCAGUGAAGCGGUCGGAUAGGGCCCUUGAGCUGAUGGACGGUCUGAUUGGGUGACACUGAGAAGGUGAUAGUGGUAUUUCAGCCACGCAGAUAAGCAGGGAAGAGCAUUCCUGGCCGAGGGAACAGCCAGUGCCAAGACCCAAAAGAGCGCCGGACCGCUUAGGGAACGGCAAGGAGGCAGAGGAGCAGAUGAGGUUCUGGGAAUACAGUGAAGACCUUGACUUUGUGGAGCUUAUUGUAUGGAGGAGAAGCAAAAUAGCGUCAUUGAUAUCUGCUUCUAAGAUGACCAGGUAACUAGAGCUCCAUCCUGAAAAAUGAGGAGUGUGGUAGGUGCGUAGACUGUUUUAAUGGCUCAAGUUCUUUGCUCCUCUCUGUAGCCAUGUUCUUUGCUAUGUGACUUUGCAGUUCCUUCCACUGGAGGUAGAUGGACUUCCCCCUGCUUGACUUUGGGCUUGGCCUUGUGACUUGCUUUGGCCAAUGGGAUGUUAGAUGUGAGGCAAUUAGAGGCUUGAAAUAUGCUUGUGGGGUUAAGCUUAUAUUUCUGCUUCUGACAUAAAAGACUGCCCAGUAAACCAUUGGUCCCAGAAGAAUGAGAAAAAAUGUGAAGUAGAACCAAACUGCAAAUAACGUUGUUGUUUUAAGACACUAAAUUUUUCGGGUGGUUUGUAAUGCAGCAUUAUUGGGGCCAGAGCUGGCAGAUACAAGAGGUUUUUUUUUUUGACAGAGUCUCACUCUAUAUUGUCUGGGCUGAAGUGCAAUGGUGCCGUCACUGCUCACUGCAGCCUCAACCUUCCGGGGCCAAGCUGUCUUCCUACUUCAGCCUACUGAGUAGCUGGGACUACAGGCACAUGCCACUAUGCCUAGCUAAUUUUUGAAAUUUUUUUGUAGAGAUGGGGUUUCACCAUGUUGCCCAGGCUGGUCUUGAACUCCCAGGCUCAAGCAAUCUGCCCACCUCAGCCUCACAAAGUGCUGGGAUUAUAGAUAUGAGCCACCAUGCCUAGCACAAGAAACUUUAAUUCCAUCCUCCAUGAGAUCUACCUGCUGUGCCUGCAUUGGAGUUGCUGCUCCAGAGGUACUGGGCUACUGCUGAGCGCAGGGGGGGUCUUAUACUUCUCCAUACAAGAAACACUAUCUUAAUAUAGCCAUUUACAUCAUCACCUGAGAAGCCUGAGUUUGUCUUUUCCUUGCAGCCCGAAAGAGCCCAACUGUGUUAAUCCAUUUUGUGUUGCUAUAAAGGAAUACCUGAGACUGGGUAAUUUAUAAAGAAAAAAGGUUUUUUGGCUCAUGGUUCUGCAGGCUGUACAAGAAACAUGAUGCCAGCAUCUGUUCAGCUUCUGGUGAGGGUCUCAGGAAGGCUUCACUUAUGGCAGAAGGGAAGAGGAGACCAUGUGUCACACGGCAAGAGAGGGAGUAAGCAAGAGAAGAGGGGUACCAUGCCCUUUUUAGCAACCAGCUCUUAGGUGAACCAAUAGAGUGAAAACCCACUCGUUACCUUGGAGAAGGCACCAAGCCAUUCAUGAGGUAUCCACUCCCAUGACCCAGACAUCUCCCACUGGGCCCAACCUCCAACAAUCAGGAUCAAAUUUCAACAUGAGAUUUCAGGGGACACGUAUCCAAACUGUAUCACUAAUGAAGACAAUGUCUGCCCUGUCUAUCACAAAGUCCUAGAGGGAUGGGUUUGCUCUUGAUUACUAUACCGGCACAGAACCUGCUGGGGUGUCCAGUGCACUCCACUAGCUGUGAAACCAGAUGUCACUCCUGUCAAAAUUAGUAAAUUUAAUGAAGCCAUCUGUCCUAGGUCCACUCUUGGAAGAUCCCUUUCCAUGCAAGAGGCUAUUACUAAUUCAACUGAUAAACCAACCCACUCAUUCACUCGUGAUGAUAGGAAGAUGGUCUGCCAGACACCGGGAUACAAAGGCCAAUUAGACAUGGCUGAUCCAUUCCUUAUAAAGAUCAUAGGCUAAUAGAAGGGACAGAUAAACUAUUAUAAGGUGGUGAGAUAAAAAUUAAAGAAGUACGAGUACGAUACUGAGGGAGUGGAGACUAAUCCUGUCUGGUGGGUUAGAGAAGCUUUCAAGGACAAGAUGAUACUUGAAAUGGGUUUGACAGGCAGGGAGGAGUUGACCAGCUACAGAAAGGGGAGAACAUUCUUGGAAGAAGGUGAACAAGCAUAUACAUUUAAGAUCCAUGGUGAGGGUGUAAGGGUGUGUGUAGGGGGAUGGUGGGAAGUGGUAGAAAAUGAGGUGGAAACUCAGGCAUAGCCAGGUGUACACAGCUUGUAUACUACAACCAGGAGUCUGGACUUGGUUCCAAGGGCACUGGGGAGCAUUGAAGAUUGUAAGAAGGGGAGUAACACAUUUGUAUUUUGCUUAUUUAAAAGACCAUCGGGCAACAAUGAUUGUGGAGAAGGCAAAGACUCUUGCUAGGUCAUUGCACUAAUAAAAGGGAACAAUGAAGACCACCUGGCAGGCUGGUGGAAAACAAGAGAAGUGAAGGGAUGGGAGAGGUAGACCUGGUUACUGAAGAAUGGGAGAGCUCCCAGGUUUCUACUUAAACUACUGGGCAGAUGGUGACACCAUUCAUUUAGGUUAGGGGACUUGCGAGGUGAGCAGGGAUGGAAUAGGGGUCCUCUUAGGCACAUGUGGAUAGGAGGGAACUGUGGGGCCUCCAAGCAUAUAUUCCGUAGGCAGCUGAAUACUCAGAACUCAGGAGACAUAGGUAUUCGGGUGUCAUAGUGUGUAGAUAGUGGUUGAAGCCAUGGGUUUGAUUUGUUACUUUGCCUGGCCAUAGCUGGUGCUUGCAGAGGCACUGAAAAGUCAUCCUCACAUGUUGAGGAUGAUCUUUGGAGCC
rnacentral:lncRNA from 10 species